AGGAGCAUUUACUCAGUGAGUGCAAGAGGUUUGUUUGAAACAGACCGCAAUGGAGAGAUCAGCGCCCAGGGAAGCGAGGGAACAGCAGGCUCCUUCCAGCAGCACAUCGGGAUGGGAGCCUGGGACACAGAGGGGGCUCCGAGACCGGGAUUGAUUCGGGCUGUAAAACUUUCUGUCUUCCGCCAAGCAACUAUUUGAAUGAUGAAGACAAUGUCAUAGUUCCUUAGUACAAGGCCAAUUGUGACCAGCUGCUUCUAACAAACAGCAGGGAAAUACUUGAAGGACCAAGACAAUGUAAAUUUUCCCUCGGUACAGAGCCAGGGGUGACCAGCUCCUUCUAACAAACAGCAGGAGCAAAUUUAAGGCAGAGACACCGAGCCACGAGAGCAAACAGUUUGAGGCCUAUUGGUAUCUUUACAGAAAGCUGAAGACUCAUCAACAGAAAUACUUCAUGUUUGAGAAGGAGACCUUGUGUUUGUUAUUCUUGGAGAAAUUCAAGAACAAAAAUUACAGACUGUCUAGCUGAAGCUUAUUGUCACAGCCAUUCAAUUUGCAAAUUACAUACAUGGCAGGGUGAAAGAACCUAAUUGCCAAGGUGUUGUGACUUUGAUGAAAAAAAAGGAAGGAUUUCAUAGCAGGAAACAAUGGACAUAGUGAGUGUUUGCAUGCUUGUUGUAAUGUAUAUGUAUUGUGUACUAAUAGUGUAAGGCUAAAGAACUUCUUAAAAUUAGGCCAUCCCUGUAUGUUGAUGGGCUCUAAGAAAAGGGGUGGAAGGUUGGAUGAUAUUGUGGCUUUAGGAUGUUUAUUUGUCCUUUCUUUCUUCUUGAAGAGAGGGUUUAUGGCAGAAGUGUCAAGUAGUACAGGAGUUGGGAGGUCAUGUUGCGGCUGUACAGGACAUUGGUUAGGCCAUGUUGGAAUAUUGCGUGCAAUUCUGGUCUCCUUUCUAUCAAAAAGAUGUUGUGGAACUUGAAAGGGUUCAGAAAAGAUUUACAAGGAUGUUGCCAGGGUUGGAGGAUUUGAGCUAUAGAGAGAGGCUGAACAGGCUGGGGAUGUUUUCCCUGCAGGGUCGGAGGCUGAGGGGAGACCUUACAGAGGUCUACAAAAUUAUGAGGGGCAAGGAUAGGGUAAAUAGGCAAAGUAUUUUCCCUGGGGUGGGGGAGUCCAGAACUA